CGAUUCUCAGAAAUUCUUUAUCACGCAAGCGCAAGCUAAGUUCGGUAGCCAAAACUCCGUUCUCAGGACACCUGUCCUUUAAAUCUAUCUCCCUCUCAUGAAAAAAAUCGACGGCCCAAACACAACCGCAGCCAGCGAUCCCCAUCGACGGCUAAUACUUCUCCAAAAACCUCCUUAGAAAAACUGAGGUUGAAAAUUAGGGCAUUUCCACCAUUUAUACAACUCCAAUAGUCCAAAACAACACAUACAUUCACUCUCUCUCUCAAGGUUUUGAUUUUAUAGUUUUAGGUUUUAGAAUCAUGGGCAAGGGUCCAGGACUUUACUCUGAUAUUGGCAAGAGAGCUAGAGGUUUCAUUUUAUUUUUAUUAUUUUUAUUUUUUUUGCAGAUUCGAGUAAAAUGAUUUUUGAUUUGUGUUUAUUUGGUGUAAAUAGAUCUUUUAUACAGGGAUUACCAGAGCGACCAGAAGUUCACCAUCACUACCUACUCUCCCACUGGAGUGGUAAUUUUUUUGAUUUAUUUUAAUAAUUUGUUAUAUUGUGCCUGUGUUCGUUUCUGGAAGCAUUGUUGAUGUACGUAUACUGUCAGAAAUGUAUAUUGUUGCGAGCAUUUGUUUUUACGAGUUUCUGAUUUUUUAUUUUUUUAAUUAUUGGCUGUUGGUUGAUAAAUCUGUGGAUUACUAGUUAAGUUAGAAGCUGACUAGGAAGCGAAAAUUGGUUGGGAGCUACUGUUUGUGCUAGUUCAUUCAGUGCUUUUUCAUGUUUUCAUGAAAUGGAAUAUGUAUAAUUUUUCUGUUCCGCUGAUAUUUUCAGUAUUAGUAAUUCAAAUUUUGAGUAAAGGCUGUUUUUGGAUAAUGAAUACUCAGAUAAAAUGUCUACUUCUAUUGGUGCAACAUUGUUAUUUUGUUGGCAGCUUAAAUAAAUAAAUAAACAUAUCCCAUCUAUUUGCUCUA
rnacentral:lncRNA from 1 species